GCAGUGAUGGUUCAGUGGUAAAAUUCUUGCCUUCCAUGCUGGAGACCCAGGUUUGAUUCCAGGCCAGUGCA
rnacentral:tRNA from 1 species